rfam:Planctomycetes bacterium GWC2_49_10 gwc2_scaffold_26526, whole genome shotgun sequence.
GAGGGCGUAGCUCAGUAGGUAGAGCAACGCACUUUUAAUGCGUAGGUCCUGGGUUCGAGCCCCAGCCCCCUCA